ACUUUUUUCGAUUUUGCAAAUUCGGACCGGAUUUUCAACAAACUGACCAAAAUACCCUUAUUACUUUUUCUCUCUCCUCUUUCUCUCUCCUUUUUUUUUCUCUCGUUUAUUUUUUUUUCUCUCACCAAAGAAGCAGCGGAGCCAGAGGCGGAGGCAGAAACGACCCGCCUCGCCUCUCAUCCUCUCGCCCUCGCCCUCGCCUUUGCCUGCGCAACCCCCACUUUCCUUGCCUCCGACCCCGCCAAGGCCAAGCCGUGACUCUUUUUUCCUUUUCCCUCUCCGACUCUCCUCCAUCGUCUCCGACGACGACGUCUCUCUCGCCCUCUCUCACCCUUAUCCGCCCUUCUCGUCCUCUCCCCCUCCCUCCUCCUUUGCCGCCUCCGACGACCACGCAUCUUCGCCGACCACGCAUCUUGUGCCCUUUAAGAGGAGAAACAGUGUAAUAAGAGAAGAAAUAGUGCAACAAGAUGAGAAACAGUGUAACAAGAGGAGAAACAGUAUAAAUAUCUCUUAAAGGGAUGCAGUUUACAUCUCAAAGGGUGCAAGAAGAGGAAAAAUAGUGUAAAUACCUCUCAAAGAGUGCAACUUUCGUUUAAAGAGUGUAACUUUUAUCUUAAUGGAGG
rnacentral:lncRNA from 1 species